CGUUGCCUUCCAAGAGCGAGAGUUAGAGCGGGGGAGGGAGGGCGGGGACGGGGGGAGCCGACAGGACCGGUGGGACCCCUGCCAAGUGGGACGCCGCGGGGGCCAGCCUCUCGCAAGGCGCUCCACUCCGCCCAGCCUCAUGUGGGGGCCUUCUUCCCGUCCUUAGCAACAACCGAAGGAGCGGGCCCCCAUGACUCCGAGGAGAGAUUUGCCCCGGAUCACUUUUCUUGCUCCUUGGAGUGUCUCCCUAAAAGGAAGACUUGUGUCUAUCCAGGGUCGGCAUUUUAUUCUAGGAGAUCUUCAUGAUGGUUUGACUCCUUCCUCCACUGUCAUUCUCGACAGUCUUCAUCAAGAAAUGGAGACCUACCGCCGCAGUUCAGCUUUCCAUUGAAAAGAGGUAGUGUGUCAAACCUACCUACUAUUCUCCACCAUUAAGACAUGUUUCUGUGAUGCAUCUGACAACUUAUAUGCAGAUUUUCUUUAGAUGUAAUAGCUGUACUGUAAUAAAGAUGAAGUCUGUUCACAUGAAAAACUGCUCCACAUCACUUGGCAUCAGGGAAAUACAAAUCAAAACCACAAUGAGAUACCACCUCACACCAGUCAGAAUGGCUAAAAUUAACAAGUCAGGAAAUGACAGAUGCUGGCGAGGAUGCAGAGAAAGAGGAACCCUCCUACACUGUUGGUGGGAAUGCAAGCUGGUGCAACCACUCUGGAAAACAGCAUGGAGGGUCCUCAAAAAGUUGAAAAUAGAGCUACCCUACAACUCAGCAAUCACACUACUGGGAAUUUACUCCAAAGAUACAGAUGUAGUGAUCCAAAGGGGCACGUGCACCCGAAUGUUUAUAGCAGCA